rnacentral:tRNA from 1 species
GGGGGCGUAGCUCAAUUGGGAGAGCACUAGCUUUGCAAGCUAGGGGUCGCCGGUUCGACCCCGGUCGCCUCCACCA